rnacentral:rRNA from 1 species
UACGGGGGGAGCAAGCGUUGUUCGGAUUUACUGGGCGUAAAGGGCGCGUAGGCGGCCACCGCAAGUCAGUUGUGAAAUCUCCGAGCUUAACUCGGAAAGGUCAACUGAUACUGCGGGGCUAGAGUGCGGAAGGGGCAACUGGAAUUCUUGGUGUAGCGGUGAAAUGCGUAGAUAUCAAGAGGAACACCUGCGGCGAAGGCGGGUUGCUGGGCCGACACUGACGCUGAGGCGCGAAAGCUAGGGGAGCGAACGGG